AUUGAACGCUGGCGGCAUGCUUUACACAUGCAAGUCGAACGGCAGCACGGGGGCAACCCUGGUGGCGAGUGGCGAACGGGUGAGUAAUACAUAGGAACGUGUCCUGAAAUGGGGGAUAGCUCGGCGAAAGCCGGAUUAAUACCGCAUACGAUCCACGGAUGAAAGCAGGGGAUUCGCAAGAACCUUGCGUUUCUGGAGCGGCCUAUGUCUGAUUAGCUAGUUGGCGGGGUAAAAGCCCACCAAGGCGACGAUCAGUAGCUGGUCUGAGAGGAUGAUCAGCCACACUGGGACUGAGACACGGCCCAGACUCCUACGGGAGGCAGCAGUGGGGAAUUUUGGACAAUGGGGCAACCCUGAUCCAGCCAUGCCGCGUGAGUGAAGAAGGCCUCGGUU
rnacentral:rRNA from 1 species